rnacentral:rRNA from 1 species
UACAGAGGGGGCAAGCGUUGUUCGGAAUUACUGGGCGUAAAGGGCGCGUAGGCGGCCUUCUAAGUCGAACGUGAAAUCCCCGGGCUUAACCUGGGAACUGCAUUUGUGACUGCACAGCUGGAGUGCGGCAGAGGGGGGAUGGAAUUCCGCGUGUAGCAGUGAAAUGCGUAGAUAUGCGGAGGAACACCGAUGGCGAAGGCAAUCCCCUGGGCCUGCACUGGACGCUCCAUGCACGAAAGCGUGGGGAGCAAACAGG